GUAGGGAAUAUUGGGCAAUGGUCGGAAGACUGACCCAGCCAUGCCGCGUGCAGGAAGACGGCCCUCUGGGUUGUAAACUGCUUUUAUCUGGGAAGAAAAAGGCCAUGCGUGGCAAAUUGCCGGUACCAGAUGAAUAAGCACCGGCUAACUCCGUGCCAGCAGCCGCGGUAAUACGGAGGGUGCGAGCGUUGUCCGGAUUUAUUGGGUUUAAAGGGUGCGUAGGGGGCUGAUUAAGUCAGCGGUGAAAGACUUCGGCUUAACCGGAGCAGUUCCGUUGAUACUGGUUGGCUUGAGUGUCGGAGGGGUACAUGGAAUUGAUGGUGUAGCGGUGAAAUGCAUAGAUACCAUCAGGAACACCGAUAGCGAAGGCAUUGUACUGGCCGACAACUGACGCUGAUGCACGAAAGUGUGGGGAUCGAACAGGAUUAGAUACCCCUGUAGUCC
rnacentral:rRNA from 1 species